rnacentral:rRNA from 1 species
CCUACGGGGGGCAGCAGUGAGGAAUAUUGGUCAAUGGGCGAGAGCCUGAACCAGCCAAGUCGCGUGAAGGAUGAAGGAUCUAUGGUUUGUAAACUUCUUUUAUAUGGGAAUAAAGUGAGGAACGUGUUCCUUUUUGUAUGUACCAUAUGAAUAAGCAUCGGCUAACUCCGUGCCAGCAGCCGCGGUAAUACGGAGGAUGCGAGCGUUCUCCGGAUUGAUUGGGUUGAAGGGGUGCGUAGGGGGUUAAUUAAGUCAGCGGUGAAAGUUUGUGGCUCAACCAUAACAGUGCCGGUGAAGCUGGUUGAUGGGAGUAUAGGUGGGGUAGGGGGAAUGCGUGGUGUAGCGGGG